GGGACUAUACUUUCAGGGAUCACUUCUGUAGUACAUUACUAGGAAGUUCCUCUGAACAUGUAGAACACUGGAAACCACAAGAAGGAAGUCUUUCUUGAGUGUGAAGCUGGCUCCUGGUGGUGUUUUUCUGCAACUGCUAUUUAUUAUUGGUGAUUAUUUUUCUUUUUUUCCAGGCAUGGAAGAAGGAGAGGA
rnacentral:snoRNA from 1 species